GUAUCUGCAUUUUAACGGUGGGAGAAAAGACGCUAUAUGGCGAUGUGCUCCUCCCUCUACCCUGCCAACCUCAUCUGUCAGCCAUUAGUUAAUCAGGGCUGGUAACACAGAGCACAGAGAGCUGGCACCGCUCGUGGGACCAGAGGACAGCUUCACCUCUGAGAGCAAGAAGAGGGCAAGGACUCAGGGACCUCUGCUUCACCGAUCUACAGCUGGGCUGCUUCACUCAGCAGCACCCACUCAGGACUGGCAGGCGUCAACCUCAAGAUGACCCCACCCACUGCUUUGCAGGUAAGCCAUUGGGACACAUGGAAACUGUUAGACGUCCAAGAAAAACUCAACUCGAGCUUAAAUGUCUGUCACUCAUCCAAUAUGGCUAUCAAAGCAACUAAUACUGUAGAAUACCUCACACAGAGAGGGUAGAUUCCAGAAAGCCAACAGAGAUCAAAACUGUUCUGUGUAUAAAUGUGUAUUUAUUUGAUCACUAUGGCCUCAAGCAGUGCAUGAAAACAUUUAUUAUUGUGAGAGCUAUAAUUACGCUACAGAAGUCUUUUUGUUUGGUGAUAAAAGCAGGAUUGAGUGUUUUGAAAACAAUGGUUUAUUGGGGCUAAGCUAUAAAAAAGACUGAUAAACAUAAUGUGAGUUUUUAGAAAUGUGAGAUUUUUUCCAGAUAAGUGAUGAAUAUAUCUGUAUUUAACAUUAUUGUUUGACUUGCUGGUUUAAUCCUUUGUUUCAGACUGUUUCUUAACCACUAUGAUGAAAAUAUUGAAAUAAAUUGUAUGAUGAAACAAAAUCUGCUUAAAGGAGUACAGUCAAGUUGGUAACGCACCCUGAAAGUUUAGAAGAAAUGGUGCAUUGUAAAAUAUUUUGUAAUAUGCUUUUGUAUAUUUGUAGUCCUAAGCGAGACCAUAUCUUUAAAUGUGAGAGCCAAGGUUGAAUUCCAAUCACAUUGCAGCACAAUUGCAAUGCAAGAGGAUGGUAAUACCAAGCAUAUGGUAACUGUAGUUACAUAGACUCUUCAAAGGAGCUCAGUGUUGACCUGGAGCAAGAACAAACUUGCAAGUGUAGACUGUGAAGGGAGUGUAGAAUUAUACCCUGGGCUACAUGUUGUCAAGGCUGUGAGAUACUAAAAAGGCUUUACAUGGUCCACCAUGCUAAAAUCUUAAUUUAUCUUUGCACCAAUUCAUGCAAAUAGUAAUAGUUUAGGAACUGAAUGCACUUUAAGAUAGAGUCUUUUGUUAUAGCUUAAUCAGAAUCACUAUGUCCUCUCUUGUGGAGAUAAAACUGCAAAUCAGAGAAAGAAAGAGACAAGGGAGGGGGGAAGAUAAAGGGCCGGGGAACAUUCAGGCUGUUUUUCUGUUCAUGGUCUUGUUUUCCAGGGAGGUUUCAAAGACAGAAGUCAAAACAACACAUGUUGUCAACAUGGGAACAGCUGGUAAGCGCGGCGUCAUGGGGCAGAGGAAUGUCAAGAGUCAUAGAUCUUUUAUCCAUCAGGCUAUAAUAGCUACACGGACUUGUUUGAAACCACGUACAGGAGCAGUGUGAAAUUUAUACAUCCAACUCACCUCACUCUGACCUUUACAAAAUCAAUCCAUGACCAAUCUCACAACAUGUUUUGAACUAUAAACAAGAAUAUAGACAAAAAUUUCUACAUGCAAAAUGUAGUAAACAGUCAAAUGCAAUAAUGAUGAAUUUCAGAUGUGAGAAGUCAAUUUUUCCACAUGCCACAGGAUGCGACUGAUUGUACGAUGUGGAAAUAAUUUCCUGUCCCUGUCCAUGCAGUUCCUGACACACAGUCAGCUGCAGGAGCUGCGGCACAUUUCUGAUUGGCUAUGACUAAACGGUAUAUUCUGCACGCCAUGCCAAAGUAUGACUUUGCCAUCUUUAAAGAGUUAAAUAAACAGCCAGUUGAGUAGGCAUAUACAGUUUCUCCGACACAGUUUCCUUUUUAAGUCAACAGCACUCAGAAAAGAUACACCAAGGAACCAUAAGUCAAAACGAAAUGACAAAACAGCCAAGUUUUUCCAUCCGUCUAAACAUUCCACUGAGAGCUUUUUCCAUUACUAUGUUAUACUGAAACAUCCAGCACCCUGCUGCAGAUGGAAAUGAGGAAUAAAAAAAACAGAACAGAAAGAAAAAAAAGCUAGUUCUUGAUGACAGAACUUGAAAAAUACAGCAAACCAGCCGUAACGUUAUAAAGCAGUGACCUUUGACACAGAACAUUCAAGUCUAAGUCCUUCUUCCUGCUAAAUGUUACACAGCUGCUUUUCUAAUCUGUCAUAGCACCCGACUUGCCAUGGCUUGCAGACAGGGAAGUAUGGAAACGCUCCAAAAAGUGUAUGAUCCUGACCUUGCAUUGAAAAAAAAAGAGGAAAAAAAGCAAAAUACCAUAGUUUUGCUUUGUAAUAGAUAAAAAUAGGAAAUAAAGGAAAAUGCACACCCGGUAUCUGUGUCUUAUCCAUCUUUUUAUGGCAGAAUUAUAGAGGUGAUAGGAACUUUCCUAAGUUCCCCCUUCCCAAAACUCCCCCUUGAGCAAAUUAAUUAUCAAGGGAAAAAUAAAAAUAGAUAGAGCUGUAGUUAAUCAAUCAGUUGUGAGAAAAAAGUCAGUCAUUCAAUUAGUUAUCAAUAGAAAAUGUAUUAGCAGGUAUUUUUAAUCCAUUAUUUUGAAAUAAAAAGCAAAAAUAUGUAACAUUUGAUGGUUUGGGUUUCUUAAAGGCGAAAAUUUACUGCUUUCCUUUAUUUUAUGUAAUGUUAUGUUGGACCUGGGUCAUCAAAAUACUUAUUCUACAGACAAAAAGAGUUAAUUAACUAUUAAAUGAAUUGUUAGUUGCAGACCUGGCAAUUUACCAUGCAAAAAUACUUAAUGGGUGGAUUUUUUUUCUUCUUUAAAUCUCGGUGUCUUUAAGUAGCUUAUGGACAUAACUUUGUAGAAUAGUGCAUUAAGCAAUGACUGGUAUAUCCGCACAUAUGCAGACAAGUGGCCCAGCCAACAUAGACCCAUUAGAAACAGACCUGACAGGUAGCUAACUCAUGUAUACUACGAUACAAGUACAGCUAAAUCUCUUAUAUGUUGGAGCUGAAAUGUUAGCUAUUAGCUCCCUGUUACCUAAAGGGGGCUUGAACACCCAAUCUAUCACUGUCUCACCCAUAAGAGGGGAAAAAGCUCUUUGACAGCGAUGCCGAGCCCCACAAACUCCAUUUCACUCCAUCAACUUGAUAGCACUGACAGGCCCGAACAGGACCAGGCCCCGGCGAGUCUGACGCGGUAUAGCCUCAUGCCAGAAGAAUAUACAUUUAAGUGGAGUCUUGGAAGCGACUCCUAGAGGCUUUAAACCACUUUAUAAUACUUGACCGAUGAGUUGAGGAAAAGCAGGCGCUCUCUACCUGUGUCAAAGCGAGGCCAUGUUCCCUAUCAUUCGAUGAGCCGACCUAAAUGCUUCCAGACUUUCACGCCCUGUCUCCUCUGAUUUCAUCUCACUGCAUCUGCUCCCAAACAGGAUCACCCACAAAAUAACACAGAGCCUUACUCCUUUCUUAAUCUCUUCCAAUGCCCUGCACAACUCAUUUGUGGUUACAAAUCAACUCCUUUUCAGAUGGGACGGGACAGCAUGAAUGUCAUCUUUUAAUUGCUCUCUAAGCUACAAUAAAUUGUGAGGAUGGUUAUGCAAGUGCUGGCAAACAAGAUUUAUCAUACAGUGGGUAAUAUGUUAAACUUAUCUUCAUGUAAUUCAAGUGCCUGACCCAAAAGAGACUUCCAUUCCUAAUGUGAAAGCCAUGCUGUGAUCCAAAUAUUUAGAAUCUUCAGAUAACAUCUCACAGCAUCUGGUUUUUGCCUCCCAAGACUUAAUGAUUUGCCAAAAUCUGUAGGCCAUAGUGCUUGACUUUUAACCAGCAAAUCACCAACUGAACUAUUUUUGCUUUCUCUCAAAAGGCCAAAUUGAAACAUUAUCUCCAGACUCAGAUUUAAAUUAAAGCCAUGACAAGAACCAUGCUCCAUGUGAGGACCAAGGGGGGGGACCAUCCAGCCACCGCUUCAAUUGCUCACACUCGACUGGCAUAUGGGCAGCAUCAGAAAACACAAGCCCGAUGAUGUCACGACCAACUGACCCCAGGGUGACAGGUUUGUAGAGUGUUCCCGCCCGCUGCCCUCAGGCCAAAGUCAAGUAUGUCAAUGUUGUGCAUGUGGAUUUCAUUUGAAGCAGCAUGAUUAGUUCACCGACGCUCAACUGCGAUCCCCCUCCAUGGGAAACCCACUCUCGACAGGAAACGGUAUGUUUUUGUUAGCAACAAACAGGCCUAAAUUACUAAAAUGGUGCCUCGGUUGCCAAUUCAUCACACAGCCUUAUUGUUGCUGCUUGCACACUUUUGACAGCGACAUUGCUUUUAAGGUAAUUACCAUUAGUUAAUGAUAUUUACAUUCCUGAUCGUUUAUGUUGAACUGUGUCUGCAAUCAUACAUUUGUGCAAUAAAUUGGGUAAUUGUUUUGUGUCUUUUCUUCUUUAUAUAUGACAAAUGUGUUUUGAUUUGACCUGUAUUUGGGAAAUGAAUUUUUUUUGGCAUUUAUUCAUUCAUUUUGUCACUGAAAGAUUAUAAAUGAUUAAAGGUGCAGGGAGAACAUUAUUUUAUUAUUUUGAAUAGACAAAUUAAAGCAAUGAUUUAUUAACAUUUGGGGGAAAAAUGUAGAAAUUAUUGUGCUUCUGUUAUUGAAUGCCAACAAAUACUGUUAUUGAUUAAAUGUUUAUAUGGAAGCAAUGCACAUUUAUGAAUAUUGUCCAGAUGGUAGUAUGCCAUCAUUAAUAAAGUUAUUAUCCUGUUAAGAAGUUGUUAGGUUUAUUUACAGGAUUUUAGCCUACAUCUGAAAUAUGUGAAAAAUAUAAUAUUGAAGAAAUGGCUGCUCUAAUAUCUUAAAAGUAACAUUAUCUGUGGAAUAAUAAAUGUAUAAACUACAUUCCUAAAAAGGGAUUAAAUGAAAUACAAGAAUAUGGAAUCUUUUUUUUUAUCUAUCUGUGACUUGUUUUCAUGAGAUAAAAAUUUAAGAAUAUAUUUGAUUUAUUGACAAAACGUAACAGGAAAGUAUGUGAUUGAUAUUGCUGGUUUAAGAAAAUAAAGUUGCUUUUAUUUGGCAUAAGAAAAUAUUUUUUUUGAGAUUCUACCAACAGAAGAGACCAUUGCAUAAGGUAAGGCACCAUCUGAGGUUAUGAGAAAUAUUUUGACAAUGUUAUGUAAUAAAAGGAGCCCUGGAUCAUUUUAUCACCCUCUGGCUUCUAACAACAAAACCUUUGCCAUUUGACUAAGACUAUUAUUUUUUGUUUUAUGAAUGUAUAAAUAUAUUCAUGAAAUGGCAUUAAAGCUUCCUACAAUAUAUGAUAGAAUGCACUUGAAUGAAGGUAAUUUGAUGUUAGCCUCUGAUUGAAGUCUAAUUAUUUUAGUUUAAUCACAUGUUUUGCUUCACUGUUGCUUUAUUUAGAGCUACAUUAAAAGGAUGCUUCACUGCAGACAUUUAAUUACAGGUUUCCUAAUGCAGAAUGUAGUGAUGUGGUCUAUUUUUAGUUGCUUGAAGCCGAUGCUAAAGUAUUUACUUAAAUGACUACAUCAGUUGAAUAUACUGCAGGAUGUUACUUCUCACGUAGGUGCUUCAAAAAGCUACUUUAAUGUGCAUUUUCCUUCAAAGAAUGACCUCGGGACAACAUCAAAUACAUAAUUCAAUCAGCAGUUUUCUGUAAAUACUGGCUUUCCAGGGCUUUCUUUUGGAUCUCCUCAACAAAACAACCCUUGCCAGCAUGCAUUAAUACCAAUUAUUGUUGUAGUAAAAGUAAUACGCCGUCGGUCUCCUGCCAAAUGCAUGACAGAGAGCUCCAUUAAUGCAAUGGUAAACAGAUGUGCCACCCAGCGCCAAAGUUUGAUUUGGACUGUAUAUGUUUUCUCCAGCGAGAUUACAAAAUAAUAUGUUAAAACGCAUAAAAGGAAAAGGCCUGCGGUGGUUUUACACUACAUUAUGCAGAGGAAUGUGAAGCACUACGGAUACUGUAGAAACAGAUUUAAAGUAUGCCCCCAAAGACUGAAUUAAUAUGUAAGGUUUACUGAAAAAAAGCCACUUUACAAAAAGUCAAUUGAGGGUCAAAUACCAAAAUACCACAUAAUGACCUGCGAGUCAAGUCUUUUCUAUGAGCUGUUUAUAGUAACUCACCUACACACUAUAUACUGCAUAAACAUGCCCUACAUGCAUUUCAUGCCCAUGCAUUACCAGAGCAUAUUUGUGUACAAUGAAACCACUAUAUAUGCAAGAAUAACUGCUGAACAACUGUUCCCCUGUUGAAGCAAUAAACUAUAUUCCAAGUGUUA